rnacentral:rRNA from 1 species
AAUGAACGUUGGCGGCGUGGAUUAGGCAUGCGAGUCGCGCGAGAAUGUAGCAAUACAGGACAGCGGCGAAAGGGAGAGGACAACACGGGAAUCUGCCUUGGGGACGAGGAUAGCGUCGGGAAACUGACAGUAAUACUCGAUAAUGUUUGCGGACCAAAGGUGUGACUCCGCCCCAAGAUGAGCCCGUGCCCCAUUAGCUAGUUGGCAGGGUAAUGGCCUACCAAGGCUGUGAUGGGUAGCUGGUGUGAGAGCACGACCAGCCUCACUGGCACUGAGACACUGGCCAGACACCUACGGGUGGCUGCAGUCGAGAAUCUUCGGCAAUGGACGAAAGUCUGACCGAGCGACGCCGCGUGCGGGAUGAAGGCCUUCGGGUUGUAAACCGUUGUCGUAGGGAAUCAAGUGUAUGAGGGUACUCCCUUGUAUUUGAGAGAUCCUAGGAGGAAGGAGAGGCUAAGCUCGUGC